UGCAUAUCCAAAAAGCGGUGGAAAAGAAACCAACUGGGAUUGCCUUAGUAACGGCGAGUGAAGCGGCAAAAGCUCAAAUUUGAAAUCUGGUACCUUUGGUGCCCGAGUUGUAAUUUGUAGAGUACCACUUUGGGACUAUACUUUGCCUAUGUUCCUUGGAACAGGACGUCAUGGAGGGUGAGAAUCCCGUAUGGCGAGGGUGUUAGUUCUUUGUAAAGGGUGCUCGAAGAGUCGAGUUGUUUGGGAAUGCAGCUCUAAGUGGGUGGUAAAUUCCAUCUAAAGCUAAAUACAGGCGAGAGACCGAUAGCGAACAAGUACAGUGAUGGAAAGAUGAAAAGAACUUUGAAAAGAGAGUGAAAAAGUACGUGAAAUUGUUGAAAGGGAAGGGCAUUUGAUCAGACAUGGUGUUUUGCGCCCCUCGCUCCUUGUGGGUGGGGGACUCUCGCAGCUCACUGGGCCAGCAUCAGUUUUUGCGGCAGGACAAAACCUUGGGAAUGUAGCUGUGCGCCUCGGUGUACAGUGUUAUAGCUCUUGGGAAUACUGCCAGCGGGGACUGAGGACUGCGAUACUUGUUAUCUAGGAUGCUGGCAUAAUGGUUAUAUGCCGCCCGUCUUGAACCA
rnacentral:rRNA from 1 species